UCCAGCGGCGAUAGCACGUUAAAUACACCAAUUCCCAAAUGGAUCACUGAAGUUAAGAAACGUUGCGCAUGCGCAUAGUUAGGCUGCUAGCU
rnacentral:rRNA from 1 species